GAUGAACGCUAGCGGCAGGCUUAACACAUGCAAGUCGAGGGGUAUUGGUUUUCGGACCAAGAGACCGGCGCACGGGUGCGUAACGCGUAUGCAAUCUACCUUUUGCAGAGGGAUAGCCCCAGAGAAAUUUGGAUUAAUACCUCAUAGUAUAGUACUUUGGCAUCAAGGAACUAUUAAAGUCACAACGGCAAAGAUGAGCAUGCGUCCCAUUAGCUAGUUGGUAAGGUAACGGCUUACCAAGGCUACGAUGGGUAGGGGUCCUGAGAGGGAGAUCCCCCACACUGGUACUGAGACACGGACCAGACUCCUACGGGAGGCAGCAGUGAGGAAUAUUGGACAAUGGGCGCAAGCCUGAUCCAGCCAUGCCGCGUGCAGGAUGACGGUCCUAUGGAUUGUAAACUGCUUUUAUACAGGAAGAAACACUCCGACGUGUCGGAGCUUGACGGUACUGUAAGAAUAAGGAUCGGCUAACUCCGUGCCAGCAGCCGACGG
rnacentral:rRNA from 1 species